rnacentral:rRNA from 1 species
UACGUAGGGGGCAAGCGUUGUCCGGAUUUAUUGGGCGUAAAGAGCGUGUAGGCGGCCUGAAAGGUCAGCUGUGAAAACUCGAGGCUCAACCUCGAGACGUCGGUUGAAACCAUCUGGCUAGAGUCCGGAAGAGGAGUGUGGAAUUCCCGGUGUAGCGGUGAAAUGCGCAGAUAUCGGGAAGAACACCCGUGGCGAAGGCGGCACUCUGGGACUGUACUGACGCUGAGACGCGAAAGCGUGGGGAGCGAACAGG